GAUGAACGCUGGCGGCGUGCCUAAUACAUGCAAGUCGAGCGAACAGACGAGGAGCUUGCUCCUCUGACGUUAGCGGCGGACGGGUGAGUAACACGUGGAUAACCUACCUAUAAGACUGGGAUAACUUCGGGAAACCGGAGCUAAUACCGGAUAAUAUAUUGAACCGCAUGGUUCAAUAGUGAAAGACGGUUUUGCUGUCACUUAUAGAUGGAUCCGCGCCGCAUUAGCUAGUUGGUAAGGUAACGGCUUACCAAGGCAACGAUGCGUAGCCGACCUGAGAGGGUGAUCGGCCACACUGGAACUGAGACACGGUCCAGACUCCUACGGGAGGCAGCAGUAGGGAAUCUUCCGCAAUGGGCGAAAGCCUGACGGAGCAACGCCGCGUGAGUGAUGAAGGUCUUCGGAUCGUAAAACUCUGUUAUUAGGGAAGAACAAAUGUGUAAGUAACUAUGCACGUCUUGACGGUACCUAAUCAGAAAGCCACGGCUAACCACAUG
rnacentral:rRNA from 1 species